rnacentral:misc_RNA from 1 species
AAGUCGUAACAAGGUUUCCGUAGGUGAACCUGCGGAAGGAUCAUUAUUUGAUCUGAGUUGGCGGCAUUUGAAAAAUGCAGCCUUUUUGCUUUGUGAACUGUCUUGUACUGUUGUUUUUUUUAAUAGUUGCUUUUUUUCUUCGGAAAAAAAAAUAAAGACAACUUUCAGCAAUGGAUCUCUUGGCUCUU